GUGAACUCCCAGAACACGCUAUAACUGUGCAGAGGUAGGUUACCGGCCUACCUGUAGACACCUCUCACCUGUACGCAGGUGAACUCCAGAACCAGACUUCCCUGUGGGAUUUAUAUACAGUGCAGUAAGAGGUGUGUUUCCUCAUCCCUCCAUCCAUCCCUAGACGAGUGUGUCAGAGCAGGUCAGGACUGUGAUCUACAGCACCUGAGUCAGACUCUUACAGGUGUUAAAUGCGCAGUGUGUCCUUUAAGAUCUACAGCACCUGAGUCAGACUCUUACAGGUGUUAAAUGCGCAGUGUGUCCUAUAAGAUCUACAGCACCUGAGUCAGACUCUUACAGGUGUUAAAUGCGCAGUGUGUCCUAUAAGAUCUACAGCACCUGAGUCAGACUCUUACAGGUGUUAAAUGCGCAGUGUGUCCUAUAAGAUCUACAGCACCUGAGUCAGACUCUUACAGGUGUUAAAUGCGCAGUGUGUCCUAUAAGAUCUACAGCACCUGAGUCAGACUCUUACAGGUGUUAAAUGCGCAGUGUGUCCUAUAAGAUCUACAGCACCUGAGUCAGACUCUUACAGGUGUUAAAUGCGCAGUGUGUCCUAUAAGAUCUACAGCACCUGAGUCAGACUCUUACAGGUGUUAAAUGCGCAGUGUGUCCUAUAAGAUCUACAGCACCUGAGUCAGACUCUUACAGGUGUUAAAUUGGCCGUGUGAGCUUUACUGGGCUACUGUAUGGCGAGUGUUUGCUUGAAUAGCUGGACACAGUGUGAACUGAAAUUUCACAAUAAAGACAUUUUAAAGCUCUUAAAUUUGUGUUUCCUUUAUUGGGUCCACAGUACAUGGCUGAAAUCCAACAAUGAUACAAAAAUGAAAAAAAAAAACCUGCUGCUUUUCUAGAG